rnacentral:rRNA from 1 species
AACGAACGCUGGCGGCAUGCCUAACACAUGCAAGUCGAACGAGACCUUCGGGUCUAGUGGCGCACGGGUGCGUAACGCGUGGGAACCUGCCCUUAGGUUCGGAAUAACUCCCCGAAAGGGGUGCUAAUACCGGAUAAUGUCUUCGGACCAAAGAUUUAUCGCCUUUGGAUGGGCCCGCGUUGGAUUAGCUAGUUGGUAGGGUAAAAGCCUACCAAGGCGACGAUCCAUAGCUGGUCUGAGAGGAUGAUCAGCCACACUGGGACUGAGACACGGCCCAGACUCCUACGGGAGGAAGCAGUGGGGAAUAUUGGACAAGGGGCGAAAGCCUGAUCCAGCAAUGCCGCGGGAGUGAUGAAGGCCUUAGGGUUGUAAAGCUCUUUUACCCGGGAUGAUAAUGACAGUACCGGGAGAAUAAGCUCCGGCUAACUCCGUG